rnacentral:lncRNA from 1 species
UCCAAUUGUUUCCUUCUUCUUUGUUUGUCUUGCAUUAGGGUUUCUGUCUCUUUGAUGCUUAUGUAUUAAUCGUCUCUUUUGAGUUGUAAAAUAUGAAAUUGAGUUGUCUCCCAUUCUCCUGAAUCAAAUAUUUCCGAAUGUACCCUUUUUGGCUGUUUUCUUAUAUUUAUAAAUGUGAGAACAUUUUAAAAAUAUUGGCGAACAUUUUGUAUUUAAUUG